AUGCAUGUAUAAGUACAUACUUACACAUAGUGAAACCGCGAAUGGCUCAUUAAAUCAGUUAUGGUUCCUUAGAUCGUAAAACUCCACUUGGAUAACUGUGGUAAUUCUAGAGCUAAUACAUGCAUCAAAACUCUGACCUUUGGUAAGAGUGCUUUUAUUAGACUAAAACUAAUAUGCACUUAUGUGCAUUUGUUUGGUGACUCUGGAUAACUUUGGGCUGAUUGCAUGGCCUUGUGCCGGCAACAUAUCUUUCAAAUGUCUGCCCUAUCAACUUUCGAAGGUAGAUGAUAUGCCUACCUUGGUUGUAACGGGUAACGGGGAAUUAGGGUUCCAUUCCGGAGAGGGCGCAUGAGAAACGGCGACCACA
rnacentral:rRNA from 5 species